rnacentral:rRNA from 1 species
GACGAACGCUGGCGGCGGGCUUAACACAUGCAAGUCGAACGGAAAGGCCCUGCUUUUGUGGGGUGCUCGAGUGGCGAACGGGUGAGUAACACGUGAGUAACCUGCCCUUGACUUUGGGAUAACUUCAGGAAACUGGGGCUAAUACCGGAUAGGAGCUCCGGCUGCAUGGGGGGGGUUGGAAAGGUUCGGCGGUUGGGGAUGGACUCGCGGCUUAUCAGCUUGUUGGUGGGGUAGUGGCUUACCAAGGCUUUGACGGGUAGCCGGCCUGAGAGGGUGACCGGCCACAUUGGGACUGAGCUACGGCCCAGACUCCUACGGGAGGCAGCAGUGGGGAAUAUUGCACAAUGGGCGGAAGCCUGAUGCAGCAACGCCGCGUGCGGGAUGACGGCCUUCGGGUUGUAAACCGCUUUCGCCUGUGACGAAGCGUGAGUGACGGUAAUGGGUAAAGAAGCACCGGCUAACUACGUG